rnacentral:lncRNA from 1 species
AGGAUUGACAGACAUGGUAAUGUAGAUGCUACCAAAAUCAACCACUGGGGGAGCAAACCUAAAAGUUGAAUGGGAAAUGAGAGGGUCUCAGGCUACACCUGAUCUGCAGCUAGCUGCCUCCUGCAGAGCCUGCAGGGAGCCAAAGCCCUUGCUCUUCCUCUCUUCUUCCUCCUUCCUUCUGUCCUCGAUGUCGCUCUGCUGUCCAAACUCAACUCCUCUCCAUACUGUGCCACUGAGCCACAGUGUGCCCUUCUGCACCAACAGGCAAAGAGGAGAAGGGGGCUGUAUGAGUGGGCUGGGGUUACCUGAGAGACUCCACAUUGGGGAGACUGGGAGGAUGCUGGGCACGGUGGGAGGAGGACAGAGCUGUCCCAUCUUGUGGGAUGGAGCUGUACAGUCUGUCUGUGCUGGGCAGCCUGGCUGUGCAGCAAGGGACUGGUAUGUAACGAUGCUGGGGUUGGAAGCAGGGGCAAUGUUGUGUGGUGGGGAGAGCUGCUGUGUUGUGGCAGGCCCAUACCGCAUGUGGGAAAGCAGCCUGCCUCAGCAGCAAGAUGGACCGUGUGUGCCACGCCACAGUGACCAGCCCUUGGGUGCUGCACACCGUGGGACUGCUACUCAUGGGGAGUCCCAGGCAGCACACAGGGCUGGCCAUGGACCCGCACAAGGUGUUGAGAGGAUAUGGAGAGCUCUGAAGCAUGGCAGAGGAUUCACGGGAGGUUUGUGGCUGAGGUGGAGAGCUGUGGAGAUGGUUCUCAGCUGUCAGUGUUGUGUGGGUGAUAGGUGUGAUGCUGAAAAAGGGCCGGGAAUUCCUCAGCACGUAAGAGCUCUUUCAAGCCUCUCCGGCAAAAAGGUCUCCCUUGACCUACAGCCAGCAGUGGGAAGCAUCACUAAAGGAGGAGGCAUCAAAUAAAGAAGGAAGAAGCAUCCAGAAGUCUCUUGACAAUGGUGGUGAGGUGACUUUGACUUGUAGACAAAACAGCUUUUGGAGCAACAGCUGCAAAAUGUC